CGGCAGGCUUAACACAUGCAAGUCGAGCGGUAACAGGAGAAGCUUGCUUCUCGCUGACGAGCGGCGGACGGGUGAGUAAUACUUAGGAAUCUGCCCAGUAGUGGGGGAUAGCUCGGGGAAACUCGAAUUAAUACCGCAUACACCCUACGGGGAAAAGGGGGCGCUUGCGCUCUCGCUAUUGGAUGAGCCUAAGUCGGAUUAGCUAGUUGGUGGGGUAAAGGCCUACCAAGGCGACGAUCUGUAGCUGGUCUGAGAGGAUGAUCAGCCACACCGGGACUGAGACACGGCCCGGACUCCUACGGGAGGCAGCAGUGGGGAAUAUUGGACAAUGGGGGCAACCCUGAUCCAGCCAUGCCGCGUGUGUGAAGAAGGCCUUUUGGUUGUAAAGCACUUUAAGCAGUGAAGAAGACCUAACGGUUAAUACCCGUUAGCGAUGACAUUAGCUGCAGAAUAAGCACCGGCUAACUCUGUGCCAGCAGCCGCGGUAAUACAGAGGGUGCAAGCGUUAAUCGGAAUUACUGGGCGUAAAGCGAGCGUAGGUGGCUUGAUAAGUCAGAUGUGAAAUCCCCGGGCUUAACCUGGGAACUGCAUCUGAUACUGUCAGGCUAGAGUAGGUGAGAGGGAGGUAGAAUUUCAGGUGUAGCGGUGAAAUGCGUAGAGAUCUGAAGGAAUACCGAUGGCGAAGGCAGCCUCCUGGCAUCAUACUGACACUGAGGUUCGAAAGCGUGGGUAGCAAACAGGAUUAGAUACCCUGGUAGUCCACGCCGUAAACGAUGUCUACUAGUCGUUGGGGAACUUGAUUCCUUAGUGACGCAGCUAACGCAAUAAGUAGACCGCCUGGGGAGUACGGCCGCAAGGUUAAAACUCAAAUGAAUUGACGGGGGCCCGCACAAGCGGUGGAGCAUGUGGUUUAAUUCGAUGCAACGCGAAGAACCUUACCUGGUCUUGACAUAUCUAGAAUCCUGCAGAGAUGCGGGAGUGCCUUCGGGAAUUAGAAUACAGGUGCUGCAUGGCUGUCGUCAGCUCGUGUCGUGAGAUGUUGGGUUAAGUCCCGCAACGAGCGCAACCCUUUUCCUUAGUUACCAGCGGUUUGGCCGGGGACUCUAAGGAUACUGCCAGUGACAAACUGGAGGAAGGCGGGGACGACGUCAAGUCAUCAUGGCCCUUACGACCAGGGCUACACACGUGCUACAAUGGUAGGUACAGAGGGCAGCUACACAGCGAUGUGAUGCGAAUCUCAAAAAGCCUAUCGUAGUCCAGAUUGGAGUCUGCAACUCGACUCCAUGAAGUAGGAAUCGCUAGUAAUCGCGGAUCAGAAUGCCGCGGUGAAUACGUUCCCGGGCCUUGUACACACCGCCCGUCACACCAUGGGAGUUGAUUGCACCAGAAGUGGGUAGCCUAACUUUUAGAGGGCGCUCACCACGGUGUGGUU
rnacentral:rRNA from 1 species